rnacentral:rRNA from 1 species
UACGGAGGAUCCGAGCGUUAUCCGGAUUUAUUGGGUUUAAAGGGUGCGUAGGCGGCCUUUUAAGUCAGCGGUGAAAGUCUGUGGCUCAACCAUAGAAUUGCCGUUGAAACUGGCUGGCUUGAGUUGGGGAAAGGCAGGCGGAAUGCGCGGUGUAGCGGUGAAAUGCAUAGAUAUCGCGCAGAACCCCGAUUGCGAAGGCAGCCUGCCGGCCCCACACUGACGCUGAGGCACGAAAGCGUGGGUAUCGAACAGG